GUUGUUAUUUGUUUAAAAAAAACAACAUGGGUUGUAUAAUAAUUGGUGGAAUGCACUUAGUACUUAUAUAAGUUGCUUCAAAGAAUAGGUUAUAGUCUGAGAACUGAUCAAAAACUCCGCGAUAAUAUAAUGACUGCUAAGUGCUUAAGCUGACUAACAAUGUUGCAAUAUGCUGUUAGCUACAGACACUAUAAUACCACCUUCAUCUCGUCAGGUGGAAAAAGAAAGUUGUUUACACUCUUAAAGUAACUACUACUUUGGUAAAGGAAAAUUUUAUAUCAGUUAAGUUAAAACGCGAAAUCAACCUGCGGUUAUGUUUUUACUGUAUUCAUAAUAUUUUAUUUUGUGAACAUUUAAAAAUAUGUCUCUCUCGUCGUGUCGUUGAGCAUUCUAUUUUAGGUAUUAGUACUAAGGACCGCUGUGAACUAUCACUACUUUUAACGUAGGUGAAAUAUUUAUUGAAUUUUACUAAUUAUGGAAUUGGGGAGGAAUUAAAUUCUUAGAAUAAUAUUAUCACGUCUUCGUAGAUAAUUAUUUUUGGUAGAGGCCAAAUAUUUGCAAUUAACCGACCGGUUUAUUGCGUAACUUAUUUGCACUAAUAUUCUUAUACAUCACACUUUAGGAUAAGUUUAUAAAAUUCUAGGCUAUAAAGUAAGUUUUUUAAAGAGAAAUUGAAGAAGCCAUCUUACAGAUCCAGCAGUUACAUAUUUGCCGUUUCCUAAUCUACUAACAAUUGAUGUUGCACGCAUUACUCUGUCCGCCAUUUUGUACCGUUUUAGCCGCCAUUUCGUGCACUACAAGAUGGCGUCGAUGUGUGAGGAUGAAUGUUUCAUUGUAAGGUAGUUUGUUAUGUAUUGGUCGUUUUUCGUCCACAGCGACAUAAGUCGUUCCUCGUAUGUACAGAAUUUCGUGUAAGUCCAUUUUUAUAGAAAUAAA